UUGGUGGACUGUAUUCGAGUGAGAAUGCCGGAAUGAGUAGCGAGAAUUAUGUGGGAAUCAUAAUGGCCGAAAGUCUAAGGUUUCCUGGGGAAGGUUCGUCCGCCCAGGGUAAGCCGGGAGCUAAGGCGAGGCCGCAAGGCGUAGUCGAUGCACAUACGGUAGAAAUUCCGUAGCCGGCUCAACUGUUAAGCAUACUGACACAUGAGAGUAGCUCUACCGGGCGCUGGUUGCCCCGGGCGUAAGCGAGCCGAAUGAGGCGAAGUGAGUAAAUCUUGUGGCGAGAAAAGGUGUGUGUAUUGGUUGGGCUGCCCGUACCGCAAACCGACACAGGUAGAUGAGGAGAAGAUCCUAAGGCCAUCGGGAGAAGGGUUGUUAAGGAACUAGGCAAAUUGACCCCGUAACUUCGGGAGAAGGGGUGCCUACGAGAGUAGGCCGCAGAGAAUCGGCCCAAGCAACUGUUUACCAAAAACACAGGUCUCUGCUAAAUCGAAAGAUGACGUAUAGGGGCUGACGCCUGCCCGGUGCUGGAAGGUUAAGAGGAGGACUUAGCGGAAACGCGAAGGCCCGAAUUGAAGCCCCAGUAAACGGCGGCCGUAACUAUAACGGUCCUAAGGUAGCGAAAUUCCUUGUCAGGUAAGUUCUGACCCGCACGAAAGGCGUAAUGAUUUGGGCACUGUCUCAACAGCCCGCCCGGCGAAAUUGUAGUACCGGUGAAGAUGCCGGUUACCCGCAACUAGACGGAAAGACCCCAUGGAGCUUUACUGCAGCUUAAUACUGAGAUUCGGUAAAUCAUGUACAGGAUAGGUGGGAGACUAAGAAGCCAGGCCGUCAGGUUUGGUGGAGUCACCCUUGGGAUACCACCCUUGGUUUGCUGGGUUUCUAACCUGCGGCCCUGAAUCGGGUCGGGGGACACUGUUAGGCGGGCAGUUUGACUGGGGCGGUCGCCUCCUAAAAUGUAACGGAGGCGCUCAAAGGUUGGCUCAGCAUGGAUGGAAACCAUGCAAUGAGUGUAAACGUAUAAGCCAGCCUGACUGCGAGACCGACGGGUCGAGCAGAGACGAAAGUCGGAGUUAGUGAUCCGGUGGUAUGUGAGUGGAAAUGCCAUCGCUCAACGGAUGAAAGCUACCCUGGGGAUAACAGGCUGAUCUCCCCCAAGCGUCCACAGCGACGGGGAGGUUUGGCACCUCGAUGUCGGCUCGUCGCAUCCUGGGGCUGAAUUAGGUCCCAAGGGUUUGGCUGUUCGCCAAUUAAAGCGGCACGCGAGCUGGGUUCAGAACGUCGUGAGACAGUUCGGUCCCUAUCUGUUGCGGGCGUAGGAGAUUUGAAGGGAGCUGACCUUAGUACGAGAGGACCGGGUUGGACGUACCUCUGGUGUACCAGUUGUUCUGCCAAGGGCAUGGCUGGGUAGCUACGUACGGACGAGAUAAACGCUGAAGGCAUCUAAGCGCGAAACUCUCCCUGAGAUAAGAUCUCCACUGAGGCUCGACGUAGACUAUGUCGAUGAUAGGUCAGAGGUGGAAGCACAGCAAUGUGUGUAGCUGACUGAUACUAAUAAGCCGAAAGCUUGACU
rnacentral:rRNA from 1 species